rnacentral:lncRNA from 10 species
CGCAGGAGCAGCUGGGUCUUUGUUCUACCUGCACUGUAGCUCAGCACCUCGCUCCUCCUACAGUCCUGCCUCCCCAUUUCCUGAGGCAUGCUGACCCUACAGCUCUUCAGGAUGCUUCCUGCAUUCCUGUAUCCAUCUCUAGUCUGCCUUACAGAGAAACUGACCUUGGAGUUCAUGAUGAUCACCAUUCUACAGAAGAGGAAACUGAGGCUGGGAGAAAUGAAGGCACUGUCUCCUUGUCCUCCAUGUGUCCCAGUGGGCACCUUCUGUGUCCCACCAAGCAUUCAUGUCCAUUAACAGAGCAAGUGCCCUGAAUUCUUGAGCCCCAACACUGACUGCACACCCAAUUGUCCCUUCGAGAUUCUUGACUUCAUGCAAUUCAAGGGAGAAGCCUCCCUCCUGGGUGCCCAGGCCCAGAUACACUGUGGCCAGAAACAAAACACUGUAGGCUCCUGUCAGCCUGAGGGGAGCAUGGAAACUUGCUCCUAUGGGCCCCACGCACCCCGUAGGAAAUACCUCAUCUCCUCAUCCUUAGUCCUCAGCACCAAGAAGAGGUGGGCAUGUGCUCCGCUGAGCUGCAGGAGGCCCAGCUCUGCUCCAUAGAUGCUGCUGAGUGAAGGAGAAACAGCACAACAUGGGGGGAGAGUCCUAAACGCUUCAUGUGUGCUGAGACCUGUCUUUUAGAAACAGGCUUGACAUAUAGUGAACCAUCUGCAGAACCUUUCUAAUGAGAGGGUAAAGCCAGCCCCUCCUACCCCUACAGGACUUUUUUUCAUUUGUUUUGUUUUGUUUUGUUUUUGAUGGAGUUUUGCUCUUGUUGCCCAGGCUGGAGUGCAAUGGUGCAAUCUCGGCUCACCGCAACCUCCGCCUUCCAGUUUCAAACGAUUCUCCUGCCUCAGCCUCCCGAGUAGCUGGGAUUACAGGCAUGCGCCACCAUGCCUGGCUACUUUUUUAUUUUUAGUAAAGGCGGGGUUUCUCCAUGUUGGUUAGGCUGGUCUUGAACUCCUGACCUCAGGUGAUCCACCCACCUCGGCCUCCCAAAGUGCUGGGAUUACAGGCAUGAGCCACUGCACCCAGCCUCAGUUUCGUCUUUAAUGCUUUUCGCUAUAGAACUGAACAAUGCCAGAGUCCGGAAAGAGAAGGUUGGAGCAUUUCUCUACACUUGAAAAACCACAUCUGAGUGAGUGUUGCAGAGACAGGGGCUGUAAGUCAGGCUGGUGGGGAGGAAAUCUUGGCUCCCUGACCUGCUCACCACUCAGAUCUCCUCUCUGAGCCUCAGUGUCCUCAUCUUUAAAGAGGCAACAAAUGGCUCCGCCCUCAUAGCACUGGUUAUAAGCAGACUUUGGCACAACUGCCACUCCCUGGCCCCCUUCCCUGCCUCCCUCCUUUCUCAUCCAGGUCAUCAUUUAGGCUGAGAGCAUGGCAAAGAGGGGUGAGCACCAUACUAGGAGUUAGCAUAUCUGAGUCACACCUGAGCUACUUUCUGGCUGUGACUGCCUGGGCUGGGGAGGCACCAUCUGGAAACUUCGGUGUCUUUGCCUAUAUUAUCUGAUCAGGGUAAAUCCACUUCCACAUCUAUGUUCAAGGGUGGUGGGGAGCCCUGUUGCUAUGUCAUCUAGGAGGGAAAUUAGAUAAUAUUCUCAUAUAUGAAAAUACACACACCCUCUGACUUAGCAAUGUCACUUCCAGUGGGUGUCUCCCACCUGAGGAGGGUGAUACAUGUACAAGGCCAUCCACUGCAGGAUUGUUAGUAGCUCAAGUUUGGGAACAACUUACAUACCCAUCAACAGAAUGCUGUGAAAUAAAUUUUGAUAUUUCCAUAAAUUGGAGUGUUCUGCAGCUGCUAAAGAGUGGAGCAGUUCUAUGUCCUGACGUGGAAUCUCGAUACGGAAUGUUAGGGCUUAUGUUUGGAAGAAGUUUUCCAAUCACCAAUGGGCUUUAGUGUCUGAAUGUGAGGUGCAUUCUGAACCUUUGGGAAAUGGAUGAAAAAAGAAAUCCUGGCUCCCUGAUCCAUGGUUCUGUUUGAGGAGCUUUUAUUUAGUACCUGUGAUGCACCAGGUUCUUCUAUGAAGACAGUGUCUAACAAACACUGGGGAAGGAAGGAGCCUGCCUCUAUUCGGACCUUGACUCUGGCUUUGAUUCCAUCAAUAACUGGCCAUGUGACUGUGGACAAGGCCCCUAUCAUCUCUUGGCUUAAGUCCCCCAUCUGUAAAGGGGAGUUGGGCUGAAAGUCUGAAGGUCUUUCCCGUGCUGAAAUUCCAGGAUUCAGGAGGUAGGAUGAGGAUUCUGGGCCUCUGGCUGGAAACCCCAAAUAAGUUUUAUUGCUGCUUUAAAUUGGGCACCCCUGAGCCACCCAUACGUAUGACCUCUUUUCUGAGGUGAAGGAUAUUCUGAGAUGACCCAGCUCUGCUCAGAGCCCACAGUGACUGUAUGACUCAGUCCUUAAAUCACCCAAGGCUUCAAAUAGACCCACAGCAAAUGCGAGACUUAUUGGCAUCUCCUCCCACCGGGCCAUUAGACUAAACAGUGAAUCUGUGCCUCCCAGGAAUCUUCCCUGUGUGAUGUUUCUGAAGAUUAAAUAAAGAAAAACACGAUUUACACUUUCCAUCCCCUGGAUGAAUUUCUCCUCAUUAGAAUGGAAGAGAAUGUAAGCUUGGUGUGGGGAAGAGCUAUUGGCUGUUUCAUUCACUGCUGUUUGCACAGCAUCCAGGGCGGAGUCUGGCACACAGUGGGUUCUCAGUGAGUGCCUGUUGCAAACUUAAAGUAUAAUAAAAUAAAAUAAAUAAAAAAAAAUAAAAAAAAGAAUAUACUUGGCCAGCCUGAGAGAGAAGCGCUCUUUGGAGGCAGAAGGUGAGUUCUGGCCCCGUACCUGGGCAAGUCACUCAAUCUGUCAGUUUCCUCAUUUGUGGAACCAAAGGGCUGGGCCAGAUUGGGAAGGACAAGAGCUGUAGAGCCAGACAGAUUGAAGAUGUAGUCUCUCCCAUCAUUUACUAGCAAUCAUUUACCUUGAGCAAUAGCAUGAUGUCCCUGGGCUUCAACUCACCUGAUCUGUAGAAGGGGGUGACAACAGGUCUUGAAAAUGAGCACUGAAAAUCACACCUGAUUGUUGCUCAAAGAAUGGAAGGUGUUACUAUUGAGUUAUUGUCACACAUCAGGGGAUGAGGGAGGUCCAUGUUGUACUCACCACCCAAAGCCAUCUCAGUGCCUGGUCCAGACUUAAACUCCA